GGUCUACACCACUGCCUGAAGCAGAUAAGGUGCACUCUCAUUAUGCCAAACAUGAAAAGGACCAUGGUCAUGGUCGUAAACGGGGUCAUAGCCAAAGACGUAGACAAGGAAGAAAUUCCAAUGAAGUCCGUCAACCCCCAAAAAGAGAUAACCGCCGAAAGCAGAAACGGGGUCAUGAAGAUCCUAAGGCAAAUGGUUCAGAAAC
rnacentral:lncRNA from 1 species